rnacentral:lncRNA from 1 species
UAUGGAAGUUUCAAGGCUGGAGGUAGAAUCAAAGCUGCAGCUGCUGGCCUACACCACAGCCACAGCAAUGCUGGAUCCGAGCUGCAUCUGUGACCUGUCUGUUGCCACUUGUGGCAAUGCCAGAUCCUUAACUCACUGAUUAGGGCAAGGGAUCCAACCUGGAUCCUCAUGGAGACUAUAUUGGGUCCUUAACCCUUAGAGCCACAACAGGAACUCCAGCAUCAUCCUCUUUUAAUUUAAAAUUUUUUUUUCUUAUUAUAGUUAAUUUACAAUGUUGUGCCAAUUUCUGCUGCACAGCGAGCAUUGCCCUCUUCUCGUCUCCCCCUCGCCCUCUCCGUCACGUAGGAAUCAAAUGCUUCUCCACCCUCUUCCCAAACCUCUUUGUUGCAGGGAACUGAGAGAAGUUCCAGAGUCGGGAACCCAACUUUCAAGCUCUCCUGGGCAGGUGAUGUCCUGAGGCCUCCCACCCCCACCCCUGGCCUCCUGCUGAGGAACUGGUGCUAUUGGCCUGAAUUCAGGGGGUCCCUGAACUCGGGGGAGAAACACACACCAUCUUCCCUUUCGCUGACCUCUAACUAAAACUUAGCAUCUUUUUCUACAGCGACUUUGUCCCCAGGGGGAAUCACAAGUAUUCUCCAGUCUGCUGGGGGCUGUCUGCCUAUCCCCACUACAUCCAGGCAAGUCCUCUCUCCACAGGGACGGCUUUGCACCCUGUGUGUUACUACAGAGGCAGCUGGUCAUGGUGUCACAAAUGUGCUUUUUCAUAGUUUGAUAUAGAUGGUGACUCUGAAGAGUCCAUAGGCUUCCUGAGACUCCAGAAAGUUCUGUGGCUCAGCACAGGUUAAGGACCCUGCACGGGGCCACAGGUAGCUGAGCUCGGCAGGACCCAGAGCCUGGAUCUCUUUGGGGACAGAAUUGGCAGCUGCAUCCCCUGUGAGCCUCUAGAGACAGAAUUUUGGGAGACAGAGCCCUGGAAGGGAAUAGAACGUGGCGACUAGAACUGGGCAGGAGAGAGGGGGCCAGAAACAGACAGAACAUGGAACUGCAGGGAAGCCUCAGACCCCAGGCCCUAAGGCCUCCCCCAUACCCUAGCUUACAAGACACAUCUGAGUCCUUGUUCACUAGGGAUCGGCCCGCUCUGCCCAGCAGCCUCCUGUCUGUGUGCCCACAUUCAGCCCAAAGCCACCAGUUUGCCUCUCCUUCUCCCUCUGUGUCACUGUCCACUAUUGGGCACCCUGGCACCAGGAGCCCAUCCUAGGUGGGUGGCCCUUGAAUCCUGUCUCCCAAGGUUCCUUUGUCUUAAACUCCACAUUUCUCCAUCUUGCUCACGGAAGAAGAAAUACAGAUUACAAAGACUCAGCAAAUGGUUUUUAUAAACUCUUAUUUUCUUGCCACAGAACUGCCUUUAAUUAGCUCCAAGCACUACAAAGGGAACGGCGUUAUAAUAGGAGCCGCUUGAAGGAAGGAGUUCAGGGCUCUCGGCUCCGAGACCUGGGGCUGCCGCCCGUUGCAGCUGUGAGCGCGUUUGAUGGGAGCGCCCCGCCGCCCAGACGGCAGACCGCCGCCUGCCCCCAGUUGGCCCCCCUCUGCAGCCGCACAGCCUGCCUCAGCUUCUCUCCAGGGAAGAGGAACGGGUCCAGCCCUCAGACAAGCCCCUGCAGAAACCUUUGGACAAUAACCCCCCAAAUGUGCCUCGGUCCCUGCCCAGAGCCAGCUGCCCAAGAGUGGCUCUGAGUCCCCCUGCUAGCCGGCAGCAGGACGGGCGGAUGGACAGUCAGACUGACUUGUGUGUCUCAGCUGACCACCUCCGCCGAGAAGAAGUGGCACCAGGAGCCCAAAACCUGGUGUUCUAGAGGCCACUCGAUUCCUCUAAUCUGGAAGAGAACUCUUUGCAAACGACCCAGAGGCAUGGUCCUCAUACACGGUCCAUUUCCAGCCUCAGGCAAUCAGGAUGUCACAGCUGGAGAGGCCUCCCUUUGGGGGCACAGAGAGGUUAAGUAACUUGUCUAAGGCCACUCAGCCUUAGAGGUGGCCACUGAGCUGGGACUCAGAUUCAGGGCUUCUUGAUCCCCAGUCUCAGGUGCCACAAGCCCCACGUGGGCUCCUGGUCGCAGGGAAGAAAGCCACAUGGUGGGGGGGUGUCUGAGGCCAGGUCCCAUCAGCCUUAAGGGCCAGACAGAGGCAGGAAAAGUCUCCCCAAAUCCCAGCCUCAAUCAGAACUUCCAAGUGGAGGCUCUCGGAACCCUAUCCUUUUUGAGGGACACAACCCAGAACCCUGGGUCCCUCUAGGCCAUGAAUAGAGGCAGAAGCCUGACCACAUCCACAAACCCUCUGGAGGCCUGCUCUCCCCGAUUCCAAACCACCUUCUGAGCAACCCAGAGCUGCAUAGGUUCCCUCCAAAAGCCUGUAGCCUUCUCUUCCCUCUGCUUCUCUCACCCAGGAAUGACUCGGAAAAUGCAGUGCAGAAGUUUCUCGGGAAGGUCUCCCGAUCCUCAGGUGUAGCCUUGCCCCCUGCCUGCUCCAGAAGCUGGCCAGUCUCUGGGGGAGCAGAUAUCUGAGUAUGUGCUCAGGUGGAGGGUCCGAGCGCUGCAGGGUGGGGGGGGCAGGGGCCCUGAGGAUGGGGCAGGAAGCCUCGGGUCACAGGGACCCCCCCAUGUGUCCUCUCCACCCCACAACCCUCCGAAGUCCUUUGAGGGCUUGUGGCUCCCACCGUGGACAGUCCCCACCAGCUGAGGAUAAAAGUCCACAAAGAUGUUCCCCUGCAGGACACCACGGAGGCCACCAGACCCUCUUCCCACCCCAGACCUUCAGAAGCCAGCGGAUGUAGGUAGGCAGCCCGGGCCCUUGAAGGCAGCCAGCGUGGACCCUGUAGGGACGCAAUCCGGGCCCCCGGCCACAGCUCCCCACCCGAAAGGGCGCUCGUUACUCACCGCGGAUGAAGGUUGGCGAGUAGGUCGGGAACGAAUCGAAGAUUGUGUGCGUGCGUGUGUGUGUGUGUGUGUGUGUGUGUAUGUGAGCGAGAGAGAAAAAAAAAAAUCCCCAAGGAAAGUAAGUUUCUGUUUGUACCCAAGAAUUUGGAUUCCUGGUCCCACAGGAAUGUCUCGCCACAAAUUUUCAACAGAAGCGUAUGCAGAGUGUAUCAUUAGAUGGCGGGAAGGGGACUUCGGCAGCCAGGGCAGGAGUCGCAGGGCAGUGAGAGCAAAGCCAGCACAGCGUCAAGCGGCCACGGGAAU